GGGCAAUUAGCUCAGUGGCAGAGCGACUCGUUUACACCGAGUAGGCCGUAGGUUCAAUCCCUACAUUGCCCA
rnacentral:tRNA from 1 species